rfam:Glossina morsitans morsitans, isolate Yale, WGS project CCAG01000000 data, contig: ctg10003708
UCCUUGGUUCCACUAGGAACCAAAAAUAAAUUAAUUCAAUAUUUA